UCCUACGGGGGGCAGCAGUGGGGGAUAUUGCACAAUGGGGGAAACCCUGAUGCAGCGACGCCGCGUGGGUGAAGAAGCGCCUCGGCGCGUAAAGCCCUGUCAGCAGGGAAGAAAAUGACGGUACCUGAAGAAGAAGCCCCGGCUAACUACGUGCCAGCAGCCGCGGUAAUACGUAGGGGGCAAGCGUUAUCCGGAUUUACUGGGUGUAAAGGGAGCGUAGGCGGCGAUGCAAGUCAGAAGUGAAAGCCCGGGGCUCAACUCCGGGACUGCUUUUGAAACUGUGUUGCUAGAUUGCAGGAGAGGUA
rnacentral:rRNA from 1 species